CCUGGUGGCUCAGACGGUAAAGCGUCUGCCUGCAGUGCUGGAGACCCGGGUUUGAUUCCUGGGUCAGGA
rnacentral:tRNA from 1 species